GACGAACGCUGGCGGCGUGCUUAACACAUGCAAGUCGAGCGGUAAGGCCCUUUCGGGGGUACACGAGCGGCGAACGGGUGAGUAACACGUGGGUGACCUGCCCUCAGCUCUGGGAUAAGCCCUGGGAAACCGGGUCUAAUACUGGAUAUGACUCCAUGACGCAUGUUGUGGGGUGGAAAGCCUUGUGCGGCUGAGGAUGGGCCCCGCGGCCUAUCAGCUUGUUGGUGGGGNGAUGGCCUACCAAGGCGACGACGGGUAGCCGGCCUGAGAGGGCGACCGGCCACACUGGGACUGAGACACGGCCCAGACUCCUACGGGAGGCAGCAGUGGGGAAUCUUGCGCAAUGGGCGAAAGCCUGACGCAGCGACGCCGCGUGAGGGAUGACGGCCU
rnacentral:rRNA from 1 species